GACGAACGCUGGCGGCGUGCCUAACACAUGCAAGUCGAACGGAAAGGCCCUGCUUCUGUGGGUUGCUCGAGUGGCGAACGGGCGGGUAACACGUGAGUAACCUGCCCUCGACUUUGGGAUAACUUCCGGAAACUGCGGCUAAUACCGGCUCGUACCCCCUACUGCAUCGUGGGGGUUGGAAAGUUUCGGCGGUCGGGGAUGGACUCGCUGCUCAUCUGCUUGUUGGUGGGGUCGUAGCUCACCAAGGGUUGGCCGGGUAGCCGGCCUUUGAGGGGGACCGGCCACAAUGGGCCUGAGAGACGGCCCAGACUGGUACGGUAGGCAACAGGGGAGAAUAUUGCACAACAGGCGGAAGCGUGAUGCAGAGACGCCGGGGGCGGAAUGACCGCCUGCGGGUAGUGAACCGCAUUCGCCUAUGACGAGGCAGGAAUGACGGUAAUGAGUAAAGAAGCACCGGCUAACUACGUG
rnacentral:rRNA from 1 species